UCCUCUUGUCAGUGAAGCGUAGGUGUGGCAAAACUGGCACUGCUGUCCACCUUUCUAGGUAGAAGGGGAAUUGAUCACCUCCAAGUAGCACACAGUUUAAAGAAGGAAAUGACUCAUUUGGCUCAUGAUUUCAGAAGAUUUUGUUCAUGUUCUUCUGGCUCCAGAAAGAAACAUCUGUCGAGGAAAGACAUAUUAGAACAAAGAUGGUCACUUCAUGGUUGUCAAGAAACAGAAAACAGGAGGAAUAAGGCAACCAGAGAUAUAUCUUUUAGAAAAGGUAUGCCUACAAUGAUCUACAUUGUUCAACUGGACCCUACCUCUAAGAGCAAUUCAGUGACUAGAUGAGCAGGUUUUGCUCUACCAGACUUUGUUGUGAUGUGCUUCCACUACCAAUUGAAAACAAUAGGGCCACCAAAUCAUGGACAAGAACAUCCA